UCCUUCAUUCCACCGGAUCCUGUUUCCCAGUCUGCAGAUUCCCAGUGGGAUGAAGCGC
ensembl:miRNA